CGAACGGGUGAGUAACGCGUGAGCAACCUGCCUAUGACAGUGGGACAGCCUCGGGAAACCGGGAUUAAUACCGCAUAAAAUCGUAGAAACACAUGUUUUAACGGUCAAAGAUUUAUCGGUCAUAGAUGGGCUCGCGUCUGAUUAGCUAGUUGGUGAGAUAACAGCCCACCAAGGCGACGAUCAGUAGCCGGUCUGAGAGGAUGAACGGCCACAUUGGAACUGAGACACGGUCCAA
rnacentral:rRNA from 1 species